UGGUGACUGGAAAUCUUUCCCUCCAAAACUUCCCAACUGAACGGACUUCUGAAGAGAAAUCUGAGCAGACUUUACCUCAGCUCCUAUUGCCCAGGGGUUCUAAGCACACAACAAUGUGCAAGAAGCUAUGAAUUUCAAAGAACAAAAUCUUUCUACUCAGAAAAAAAAAGACUGCAAUGAAAGGAAAAUAAAAAUAAAACAGAAUGAUUCAAGUCCAAUGGGAGGACAAAAGCCAGGACAACUAAUGAUGGCAUGGGAUACAGUGCGUAAUUUACCUUGAUGUCUUUGAUGUCAGAGCAAGCUCUCAGCACUCCAUAAUUUCUGUUUUGGCCACCUUCAUGGCUGUUCGAAUAAAUUGUUCUCAUCCACCCA
rnacentral:lncRNA from 1 species